rnacentral:lncRNA from 1 species
CUCCUCUGGUUGCUGAACCCCCAAAUCCCACCCUUGGUUGAUCCCUAAACACUUUCCCCAAAUCCCGGCCCGUUUGCACACUUAGAGGAAGUUUAGGGAGAAAUCUGAAUGGAUUUUAGCAAGUUUUAUCCUGGUUUUUAGACCUACUUCUCAUUCUCUUCAUUCCCUCAUUCCUCCCUUCAGAGCUUCUUAUUCCCCAGGAAACUUUUUACACUCCUCUGGUUGCUGAACCCCAAAAUCCCACCCUGGGUGAUCCCCUAAACCCAUUCCCCAAAUCCCAGCCCGUUUGCACACUUAGAGGAAAUUUAGGGAGAAAUCUGAAUGGAUUUUAGCAAGUUUUAUCCUGGUUUUUAGAGCUACUUCUCAUUCUCUUCAUUCCCUCAUUCCUCCCUUCAGAGCUUUUUACACUCCUCUGGUUGCUGAACCCCAAAAUCCCA